UUGUGUCUUUUGAAAAAAAAUACUUUUUUUUUUUUUUUUCCAAAGGUCGCACAUUCAAAACUCAAGCUGCACACUGCGCAGAAUAGGAACAGCAGUCAGCCAAUCCAAUUACCACCACGGAGGUGUGUUUUGAUUAGUUUGGCUGUAGCCCCAAGAUGUCAAACUCAGUCAGCAGCAAGACACGGACUCCAGGUGUAAUUACAGUCAGUGGCCAAGGCGUCUCUCCUGGGCUGUAGAAGUGUUCUUGAUCUGCACUGGAAAUGUAACGUCAGAGGGUACAAUGCAGCGCUAAGGGAAAAAAUGACAGUGGCUGUGUCCAGUCAUCUGCCCAUCGCGUUACACACUGCAGUAUAAACAACGCAUGAACACGACUGGUGGCACAGCAGGACAGCAGGAUUGCUUUCUCUUUUCAAAUCACUUGUAGUUUCAAGGAAGAGAGUGAAGUGACAGGCUCCUAGCUGGAAACACCAGCACCACUGUCCUUCCCACAGCUGUGCAUUUUUUAGGCUUUGGUGUCACCUGACCAUUUUCACCAACGGAUGUGCUUUUUUAGUAACACCUCAAACAAACAAAUAAAUAAAUCAGUACUUUGUGCUUUGUUAGCAUCGUUCAACCAAAGCCCUGGAAGUGCUUUGCUAAGCCAUGCAUUACUAUUUCCUGUGAGCUGCAUCAAUCCCAAGAGUCCGAUUCUGCUUCCUUUUAUAUCCAUAGGAGCAGGGCCAGCCCACAAGGACAUGCCUGGUGUUACACAGCAAGUCAACAACUGAGCUAGCAUAACUCAGGUGUCCCACUUCUUGCUUUUUGUGCCAUCUGCACCCACAGUGCCAAUCGCUCUGUGAUUCAAAGAGAGCAAGUUUCAUCAGAUUUCUUCAUUUCCAACACUCCUUUUACAGUGUCUCCAGCCUUGCAGGGUACCAGAGUGUGCUUGCUCUACUGCUGUUGUUGCCAUUCGUUUAAUACUUUCUUUAGAGCCUUCCGAGAGGCAAGGGAUCUAUGCAUGUGACACUGCAUGCCUGUGUCGUAUAUCAACCGUCUUCUGGCUUCCUCUUCCCCUGUGUUUUACAUCAGAGACAUCUGCAAGGAAAUGAGAACCUGGCUCUUCCUGCUGCUUCUCUCCCUUGCUCCAGGUUUGACAGCUAUCACCACAGCAACCCAGCACAGUGUCACGGAUGGUGGAGCACAGCGCUGGCACUGCCUGGAGCCAAAAAAAAAAAGCAACAGAAAGUGCCUGGUUUGGAUGCGGGUCUGUAACUGCAAUCUGGCAGAGAGUAAACAUGGAGAACUGGAACAGAACACAUACUUGAAUGCUGUCCACUGGGCGUAGGCUGGCGUGCAGCUCUGCUUCCAAGGCCAUCUUGUCAAAGGUGCGCGUGUUGGUCUCCUCCCGCACCUUCUCCCGGACAUGGAAGGAUGCCCGAGCUACAGACCUGGCAUUUUCUAAGACGGUCUUCUUCUCCUUGAAGAUCUGCUCGCUCCUCUCCAGCUUUCUCUCUAUAGAAAGGAGAAUCUCCCUGCGCCGUAAGUCCUCGUACUGUUCCACCUUUUGCUUGUUCAUCUUCUGCACCUUCUCCUUCUCCAGACGGCUCAAGACCAACCUGCGGGCUUUUUCCUGGACCACCUCUUCAGCCACCUGGGCAGCAUGCUGGAGCUUCCUCUCUGUCUCUUUAGCCAAGGCCUCCAAGUGCUCCUUCUGCUCUCUUUCCUUCUUCUCUGCCGCCAGUUUGGCUCUCUGGAUCUGCAUGUCCUCCCGCCUGGCCUUCUCCCUCAGCUCCUGGUUCCUCUUCUCCACUAGCUGCUCAUAGUUCUCCUGAGCCUUGGACAAACUCAUCUCCAGGGAGGCCUUCAGCAUUUCCUUCUCCUCUGCCUCUUGCUUGGCCAGUUCCUUGAGCAAAGUCUCGUGCUUCAGCUUCUCUGCUUGGUUGAGCAGCUUCCUCUCCUUCUGCAGCCGCACCUCCUUCCUCUGCCUCUUCUGCGCGGCCGUGGACAGCUUCUCCUGCAGGAGCUGCUCCUCUCGCUCCCGCUGCUCCUUCUUGCUGUCCUCCUUCGCCUUCAGAUUGUGCUCUUGAUGGAGCUUCUUCUGCUUGUCCUCCUGGACGGCUCUUUCCAGCUUCUCCCUCCGCAGCCGCUCCUGCUUCUCCGCCUGCUCCCGCCACCUCUCCUCACAUACCUGCCGCUGCUUCUGCUUCAGCAGGGCGACCUCCUGCUGCUCCUGGCUCAGCUUUCCCCGCCGCUUCUCCACCUGGCUCUCCCACAUCCGCUGGCCCUGCAGGAGGGCCUUCUGCUUCUCCUUCUCCUCCUGCUCCUUCCGCUGCUCCGCCAGGCGCCGCUGGCUGUCCCACUGCAGGUGGGCCGCCUGCCGCUGCUCCCGCAGGAGAUUGGCCUCCUGGUGCUUGGCGAUCAUCAGCGCCGCGAUCUUCUUGUCCCUCUCGGGCACCUCCGAGAGGCCCUUCUUCCUCUUCACUUCCCUGACGAUCCUCUCCACCCUCUGGGCGGUCUGCGGCGAGUGGCUGAGGUCACCCAGGCUGAAGCUGCGCCCCAGCAGGGAGCCGUCGGCCACCCGGCC
ensembl:lncRNA